CCCACUUCUGUGCCAACAGAACCCUGAUCCUGUUUACUCACUUGGUGGUAAUGGACUGUAGAAAGGAGGAGUGUCCUCCCCCAGCCCAAGGGACAAAUGGUUUAGACCAGUUUGGGCAACCUGCCCUUCUCACCUGAAACAGGUGGCUGACUGCCAGUCUGGCCAUUCUUCGAUAUUCAGAAAUAAGGAAGAAAGGGAGUGUUCUCCAUUCUUGCUGUCCAGGGAGAAGAAAUGACAUGAGAUUGUCCAGGCUGUCUGCUGUGACAUCCUUACCAUUCCACAUUCCCUGGGCUGGGUGUACUUAGUGUCUUGGUGCCAACUGAGGUGAUGUUUCCUCUCAUCACUUGUUCAAGAGAACAACAGUGUAAAGGAUCAGGACAAUCAUUUCGAUUUGGAACUUAGACCAACAGCCACAACAUUUUUUUUUUUUUUAAGGGAGGCAUAUGUUAUCACUGACUUGUAGAACUGCCAGCCAAAGCAGACAGGCAUUGAGUCAAUUUCAUUAUGGUGUUUAAAUCCUUUAUGGACAAUCCCCCUCUCCUACUGACUGCACUGAGGACAGACCGCUCCUACCAUCUGCCUCUCUGUACCCGGCAUAUCACUGGGUUGAUCUUCACAGCGCCUUAGAUGCAAAUCUCAUCUUCCUUCGACUAUUUUUUUUUUUUUACAAGAAACCCGUCCAUACCAUCCCAAGCAAGCAUUUGGUAAAGCUUUAAAAGAUGUACUGAUGCUGCGAUGUAUUAAGGAUACAGGAUAUUACGGGGAUACUUUGUUAAUGUUUUGGUGAAAGGAAAGCAGGCCCUGUUUUCUUUCCUGUCCUUGAUAUCCAGCUGCUCUUUGGGCUCACUGUAGAUCACCAUCAGGGACUGUAGGGGGCGACAUGCAACAUGUUUCCAAACAAAGGGGAAAUAAGACGAUGUGAUAUGAAGACAGACUUUCUGCAUUGGGAGUUUAUACUGCAAAAGUCCUCUACUCAACUUUUUGAAAGGAAGCCUGGACAGUCAAAGUAGAAAUGUGUUUUUGAGUUUGUCCCUGAUGAAGUGGAAAUGGAUUCCCAGCUGUUGGAAACUUUGGUUCCUUCUAGGCAAGAAGCAGGGCUGCUGCAACAAGAAAACAGGGAAUUGCUGUGUAGUAAAUGAGGUGAAUAAAUUGGUGCAGUGUCUCAUCUGGGGUGACUUACUCAGAUGACCAUCUUCUUCACCAGUCACCCUCUUCCUGCUCACUCACAGAGGUAUACAAUCAAUUUCAUGUUUUCAUUUUCCAACAUAGUUCAUCUGAUGCCAAACAAGUUGCUCAAUUUAGUAAACUCAGAGAAACUUAUUGGUAAAACCACUUUGACAUCAUAAAAUUAGAUAUGCAGUUGAUGGAGUGCUCUAUUUUCAAUUUUCAACUUGGCUUAACAGGUUUUUUUUCCUCACAUAGAUAUGGUAUUAGUGAGAAGUAAAUUGAUUCAAUUUCAAGUGAUUGCUUUGUCACCUGAAAAUCACAUGAAAGUCAGUAGGGAAAAUAAGUCUCCGAUCCCACCACUUUCCUUUUAUGCAGCCAGCUUACUUCUUCCCUCUCCAACAUCCACUCAAAGGUACAAAAUGCCUUCCUGAUGCUCCUGGUGAACCCUAGCAUGGCACUCGAGCCCGCAGAGCUGUGCCGGUCCAAUACCCCUCAUUCAUUUCCAGUCUACUCUUGAUGUACGUGUAUACAAAGGAAUUGAUGUACCUAACAUGUUAUUUAUUUCAGGAGUAUUUAAAUUUAAACAAAGGGCAUACUCAUCUCAUGACUGAGGAAUCUUUAAUGCUAACAUGCUGUCAUCUCAAAGUCCUGGGAUAUCCAAUUUAUAAAGGGAUGAACUCACAGAACCUUAAAACCCCAAACAUAGGUGGUUCCUUUUUUAUUUUAUUUUUUACCUGCUGUAAAGUUAUCUCAGGUCAAUACCAAAAUAAACUCAACACAA